GUGGUAGGAUCAAGACACUGUUUUCUGUUCCAGCUCAUUUUGCGAACAAUGUUAUGUCACAGGUCACUUGGCUGUCCUUGGCUCAACUGUGAGUAAGGAGGAGUCCUGCGGAAUGAAAAAUGACUACCCAGAUUUGCCACCAAAAUCCAGCAGGAGUGCCUUAGAAAGCAGAGACGAGAGGACACAGACACACAGAGACAGCAUGUGAAGACAGGCAAGAUUGUGUGAUGCUGCCACGAGCCCAGGGAUGCUGGGAACCAGAAGCUGGAAGAGACAAGGAAGGAUUCUCCCUCUCAGGGUUAUUGUGGUGACCACAGAAUGCAUUUGGAAGUGGCUUUGUAAACUGCAGAGUGAUAAGCCAAUUCAAUAUUUGGAGUUGUGUUUUAUCUUCCAAAGGCCUCAGUAAACAUUUGUAGAACUG
rnacentral:lncRNA from 1 species